UCCAGACUCCUACGGGAGGCAGCAGUGGGGAAUAUUGCACAAUGGGGGAAACCCUGAUGCAGCGACGCCGCGUGAGUGAAGAAGUAUUUCGGUAUGUAAAGCUCUAUCAGCAGGAAAGAAAAUGACGGUACCUGACUAAGAAGCCCCGGCUAACUACGUGCCAGCAGCCGCGGUAAUACGUAGGGGGCAAGCGUUAUCCGGAUUUACUGGGUGUAAAGGGAGCGUAGACGGUGAAGCAAGUCUGAAGUGAAAGGCGGGGGCUCAACCCCCGGACUGCUUUGGAAACUGUUUGACUGGAGUGCAGGAGAGGUAAGUGGAAUUCCUAGUGUAGCGGUGAAAUGCGUAGAUAUUAGGAGGAACACCAGUGGCGAAGGCGGCUUACUGGACUGUAACUGACACUGAUGCUCGAAAGUGUGGGUAUCAAACAGGAUUAGAUACCCCGGUACUC
rnacentral:rRNA from 1 species